GUGACGAAGCCGCGCUUCGAACUUCCCACCGCGCACCGGUGGGAUCCUUCGACCCCGCAGGGGCACCCGGAGAGGAGGUGUAGGAGCCGCGCGCGGGGCUGAGAGGGGAGAAGGAAGGAGCAGGGGAGAAAAACAAAGGGCUACCCACGAGGGAGGGGCUUGCUACUAUCCACAUUGCACACAGAAGGAAACCAGGGUCUUCUCAGAGGUGGAAGAACUUGCCCAAGGAAAUGCUGUUACAGGUGAAUGUGCUCAGCUGCCUCAGUCCUGUCCAACGCUUUGUGACCCCAUGGACUGCAUCCCCCAGGCUCCUCUGUUCAUGGGAUUCUUCAGGCAAGAAUACUGGAGUG